CCUACGUGAGGCAGCAGUGAGGAAUAUUGGUCAAUGGGCGCGAGCCUGAACCAGCCAAGUAGCGUGAAGGAUGACUGCCCUACGGGUUGUCACCUUCUUUUAUAAAGGAAUAAAGUGAGGCACGUGUGCCUUUUUGUAGGUACUUUAUGAAUAAGCAUCGGCUAACUCCGUGCCAGCAGCCGCGGUAAUACGGAGGAUCCGAGCGUUAUCCGGCUUUAUUGGGUUUAAAGGUAGCGUAGAUUGGUUGUUAAGUCAGUUGUUAAAGUUUGCGGCUCAACCGUAAAAUUGCAAUUGAAACUGGCAGCAGUGAGUGCAGGUGAGGUAGGCGGAAUGCGUGGUGUAGCGGUGAAAUGCUUAGAGAUCACGAAGAACUCCGAUUGCGAAGGCAGCUUACUAGACUGCCACUGACAUUGAUGCUCGAAAGUGUGGGUAUCAAACAGGAUUAGAUACCCGAGUAGUC
rnacentral:rRNA from 1 species